GCGGGAGUGGCCCGGCCAUGACGGCAUGCCCCGCUUGCGAGGCGGGGCGCCGCGGUUGAAGUCCGCGGGCUCGCA
rnacentral:tRNA from 1 species